rnacentral:rRNA from 1 species
GAUGAACGCUAGCUACAGGCUUAACACAUGCAAGUCGAACGGAAAGGCCCUGCUUUUGUGGGGUGCUCGAGUGGCGAACGGGUGAGUAACACGUGAGUAACCUGCCCUUGACUUUGGGAUAACUUCAGGAAACUGGGGCUAAUACCGGAUAGGAGCUCCUGCUGCAUGGUGGGGGUUGGAAAGUUUCGGCGGUUGGGGAUGGACUCGCGGCUUAUCAGCUUGUUGGUGGGGUAGUGGCUUACCAAGGCUUUGACGGGUAGCCGGCCUGAGAGGGUGACCGGCCACAUUGGGACUGAGAUACGGCCCAGACUCCUACGGGAGGCAGCAGUGGGGAAUAUUGCACAAUGGGCGGAAGCCUGAUGCAGCAACGCCGCGUGCGGGAUGACGGCCUUCGGGUUGUAAACCGCUUUCGCCUGUGACGAAGCGUGAGUGACGGUAAUGGGUAAAGAAGCACCGGCUAACUACGUG